UACGUAGGGCGCAAGCGUUGUCCGGAAUUAUUGGGCGUAAAGAGCUCGUAGGCGGUUUGUCGCGUCUGCUGUGAAAACCUAAGGCUCAACCUUGGGCUUGCAGUGGGUACGGGCAGACUAGAGUGCGGUAGGGGUGACUGGAAUUCCUGGUGUAGCGGUGGAAUGCGCAGAUAUCAGGAGGAACACCGAGUGGCGAAGGCAGGUCACCUGGG
rnacentral:rRNA from 1 species